rnacentral:rRNA from 1 species
AGUGAACGCUGGCGGUAGGCCUAACACAUGCAAGUCGAACGGCAGCACAGUAAGCGCUUGCUCUUACGGUUGGCGAGUGGCGGACGGGUGAGGAAUACAUCAGCAUCUACUUUUUCGUGGGGGAUAACGUAGGGACACUUAUGCUAAUACCUCAUAUUUCCUACGGGUUAAUUCAAGGGAUCUUCGCACCCUUCCUGUUUCUAUGAGCUGAUUCCGCGUUGCAUUAGCUAGUUGGUAAGGUAACGGCUUACCAAGGCAACGAUGCAUAGCUGAGCUGAGAGGAUGAUCAGCCACACUGGAACUGAGACACGGUCCAGACUCCUACGGGAGGCAGCAGUGGGGAAUAUUGGGCAAUGGGCGCAAGCCUGACGGAGCAAUACCGCGUGAGUGAAGAAGGCCUUCGGGUUGUAAAGCUCUGUUGUUGGGAAAGAAAAGCAGCAGGAGAAAACGCCGAUGUUCUGACGGUACCCAAAGAAAAAGCAACGGCUAACUUCGUG